CGCGGGGUGGAGCAGCUUGGUAGCUCGUCGGGCUCAUAACCCGAAGGUCGUCAGUUCAAAUCUAGCCCCCGCAACCA
rnacentral:tRNA from 1 species